AUUUAAAAUUGAAAACUUUGAAUCUUUGUUUUCUAGUUACGAUUUGAUUUUAUCUUAAAAGAAGACCAACUUUCCUUCACCAUUAUCUGAAAAUAUAGCAGCUUUCCUUCAAUUCGUGAUUUUAUUUUAUCCUCAUUUCAAGAAUUUAUCUUCAUCCAAAUCAAAAUAGAUUAUAGCUUCUUUUGAUGCUGGAUUUUGCUUCGAGAAAUUAGGCUUUGCCAUUGUUGCUUUCUAAGUCUAGAGUUGGUUCAGGAUUGAUUAAAAAGAAAGGCUUUAAAGGAUCCUUUGUGGAGGUUUAUAUAAAGAAUCCGCACAUGGAUUUGGAGGAAUUUUUUUCAGACUCUGAAGAGGAGGUUGAAUAGUCGAUGAUUGUUUAUUUAAAUAAUGAGUAUAAUCCCAUGUGUAAAAAUAAACCUCGCCCACAAAGAAUUUCAAAACUAACAAGUUAUGAAUGGGUAGUUAAAAUAUUGAAUGGUCAUCCAAGGACAUGUUAUGAAUUAUUUCAUUUAGAGAAACAGGUUUUUAUAAACCUUUGUGAGGGAUUAAAAGGAAGAACAGAAUUAAGAGAUUCUAAGUUUGUUUCAGUACAAGAACAACUAGCUAUAUUUCUGCUAAUUGUUGGUCAAAAUGAAAGACAAAGAUUUGUUUGAGAUCGAUUUCAGCACUCAACAGACACAAUUUCCAGGUAUUUUAGAAAAGUGCUAAGCAUGUGAUUGUUCCUUUGUCAUUUGAAGAAACGCCUACAGAGAUAAAGAACAAUCCAAAAUACUUUCCAUUUUUCAAGAAUUGUGUAGGAGCUAUAGAUGGUACCCAUAUUUAUGCAUCUAUUCCAAUUGACCAACAGAUUCCAUACCGUGGAAAGACUGAGCCAACUCAAAACAUAAUGUGUGUGUGCUCUUUUGAUAUAAGAUUCACAUUCGUUAUGACUAGUUGGGAAGGAACUGCAAAUGAUUCAAUAAUUUUUUUAGAAACUAUUACCAAACCAGAAAAUGAGUUUUCUAUGCCCCCACGAGGUAAAUAUUAUUUGGUUGAUUCUGGAUAUACCAAUGCGCC